GACGAACGCUGGCGGCGUGCUUAACACAUGCGAGUCGAACGGAAAGGCCCUGCUUUUGUGGGGUGCUCGAGUGGCGAACGGGGGAGUAACACGUGAGUAACCUGCCCUUGUCUUUGGGAUAACUUCAGGAAACUGGGGCUAAUACCGGAGAGGAGAUCCUGCUGCAUGGUGGGGGUUGGAAAGUGUCGGCGGUUGGGGCUGGACUAGAGGCUUAUCAGCUGGUUGGUGGAGUAGUGGCUUACCAAGGCUUUGACGGGUAGCCGGCCUGAGAGCGUGACCGGCCACCUUGGGACUACGAUACGGCGCAGACUCCUACGGUACGCAGCAGUGGAGAAUCUUGCACAAUGGGCCGACGCCUGAUGCGGCAAUGCCGCGUGCGUAAUGACGGCCUUCUGGUUGUAAACCGCUUUCGCCUGUGACGUAGCGUGAGUGACGGUAAUGGGUAAAGAAGCACCGGCUAACUACGUG
rnacentral:rRNA from 1 species